rnacentral:tRNA from 2 species
GCCUAAAUAUUUUAUUAAAAAUAUUGUUUUGUGGAAUCAAAGAUAUGAAUUUUCAUUUUAGGUC